rnacentral:tRNA from 1 species
GGGAAUGUGGCUCAGUGGUAGAGUGCUUGCCCAGCAUGCAGGAAGCCCUGGGUUCGAAUCCUCAGCACCA